rnacentral:misc_RNA from 1 species
GAAAUGCGAUAAGUAGUGUGAAUUGCAGAUUUCAGUGAAUCAUCGAAUCUUUGAACGCACAUUGCGCCCCUUGGUAUUCCAUGGGGCAUGCCUGUUCGAGCGUCAUUUGUACCUUCAAGCUUUGCUUGGUGUUGGGUGUUUGUCUCGCCUCUGCGCGCAGACUCGCCUCAAAACAAUUGGCAGCCGGCGUAUUGAUUUCGGAGCGCAGUACAUCUCGCGCUUUGCACUCAUAACGACGACGUCCAAAAAGUACAUUUUUUACACUCUUGACCUCGGAUCAGGUAGGGAUACCCGCUGAACUUAAGC